UACGAAGGGGGCGAGCGUUGUUCGGAAUUACUGGGCGUAAAGGGCGCGUAGGCGGCGACCCAAGUCAGAUGUGAAAGUCCUGGGCUUAACCUGGGGACUGCAUUUGAUACUGGGUUGCUUGAAUUCGGGAGAGGAUAGCGGAAUUCCCAGUGUAGAGGUGAAAUUCGUAGAUAUUGGGAAGAACACCGGUGGCAAAGGCGGCUAUCUGGACCGACAUUGACGCUGAGGCGCGAAAGCGUGGGGAGCAAACAGG
rnacentral:rRNA from 1 species